AGUGAACGCUGGCGGUAGGCCUAACACAUGCAAGUCGAACGGCAGCACAGUAAGAGCUUGCUCUUACGGGUGGCGAGUGGCGGACGGGUGAGGAAUACAUCGGAAUCUACUUUUUCGUGGGGGAUAACGUAGGGAAACUUACGCUAAUACCGCAUACGACCUACGGUUGAAAGCAGGGGAUCUUCGGACCUUGCGCGAUUGAAUGAGCCGAUGUCGGAUUAGCUAGUUGGCGGGGUAAAGGCCCACCAAGGCGACGAUCCGUAGCUGGUCUGAGAGGAUGAUCAGCCACACUGGAACUGAGCCACGGUCCAGACUCCUACGGGAGGCAGCAGUGGGGAAUAUUGGACAAUGGGCGCAAGCCUGAUCCAGCCAUACCGCGUGGGUGAAGAAGGCCUUCGGGUUGUAAAGCCCUUUUGUUGGGAAAGAAAAGCAGCAGGUUAAUACCCCGCUGUUCUGACGGUACCCAAAGAAUAAGCACCGGCUAACUUCGUG
rnacentral:rRNA from 1 species